AUCAUUAAUACGUAAACGUGAUUUAUUUUCUUUCGGUAGAAUUGAUUAUUUAAAAUAUUCCUUUAAUUUAUAUAUAGAACAAAUAAUAAUAUAUAUAAUUAGUUCACAUUUUAUCUACCUCAAAUAUGUAUUACGUGUUAUGGAAAAUUGAAAGAAACACCUAAUUGGAAUAAAAUAUCUUAAAAUUUCUAUGAUUUUGGUAUUAACUAAUGUACCAUCUUGUUUUUCUAAUUGUAUAUCUAGAAUACAAGUCACACAAUUUUUUAAAGAAGCGAUUGAUUUUUGCACGAAUCACAUCUUAUGCAUAUAUAUGUGCAUUUAUGGUUACAUCUUCAUCUAGCUUCAUAAGUCUUUACACAUAUGUACUUAUAUAUGUGGCUAUGAACCGACGCAAGCGUGUUGCGAGGUUGUGCUGCUUUUUUAACUAUUUCAACAACUGCGCUUACAUUCGGCAAUAUCAGCGAAAAGAUUAUUGCGCAUAGGUGAUUAUACAUCGACUACUUUUCAUGUUCUACAAACUUGUAUCAAUUAAGACAACGAUAUAUUCAACAAGUAGUGUAAUAAUAAUACUGUAAUCUUUGUAUAAAAUAAUGUAAAGAUUCCUCUAUAUGGGAAGGUGAGAAACAAGUGGCUGCAGCCAAAUUGGCGCAUAAGGAACGUUCAUUGCCAGUAAUAAGAACAGCACAGGUACCAGUAGGUUCUUUCUUUGUAUAUUGAUAACGAACAUUUAAGCCAUCUGCACGUGCCUUAUCCUCCAAAAUUUUGGAAUACUUAUCUAUUCCAACGCAACCCAUGUAAGUUGCAACUCGUGGUUUCUCCAGGAACCACUAUGGGAUAGUCAAUGUUUGAUAUUUCUAUUAAUGUAAUACAUCAAAUAAUAUAAAGAGCUUACUUGUGCUACUCGCAUAGUAUUUUGUACAGAACCACCGGCAAUAAAAUCUGCGUUAUACAAUUCAACUAAUUCAUCAUACAUUGGCUUGUGUUUUUCUUCAGCAAGAAUUGCAUCGUUCGAUUUUAAAUCAUA